rnacentral:rRNA from 1 species
AUUGAACGCUGGCGGCAGGCCUAACACAUGCAAGUCGAGCGGAGCGGCCGACGGGUGGGUAAUGCCUAGGAAUCUGCCUGGUAGUGGGGGAUAACGUCCGGCAACGGGCGCUAAUACCGCAUACUAGCAGAUGAGCCUAGGUCGGAUUAGCUAGUUGGUGGGGUAAAGGCCUACCAAGGCGACGAUCCCUAGCUGGUCUGAGAGGAGGACCAGCCACACUGGAACUGAGACACGGUCCAGACUCCUACGGGAGGCAGCAGUGGGGAAUAUUGCACAGUGGGCGCAAGCCUGAUGCAGCCAUGCCGCGUGUAUGAAGAAGGCCUUCGGGUUGUAAAGUACUUUCAGCGGGGAGGCGUUACCCGCAGAAGAAGCACCGGCUAACUCCGUGCCAGCAGCCGCGGUAAUUC